rnacentral:rRNA from 1 species
AUUGAACGCUGGCGGCAGGCCUAACACAUGCAAGUCGAGCGAGCGGCGGACGGUUGAGUAAUGUCUGGGAAACUGCCUGAUGGAGGGGGAUAACUACUGGAAACGGCAGCUAAUACCGCAUACCAUCAGAUUUGCCCAGAUGGGGUUAGCUAGUAGCGGGGGUAACGGCUCACCUAGGCGACGAUCCCUAGCUGGUCUGAGAGGAUGACCAUACACACUGGAACGGAGACGCGGUCCAGACUCCUGCGAGAGGGAGCAGUGGGGAAUAGUACACAGUGGGCGCAAGCCUGGUGCAGCCAUGGGGCGUGUGUGAAGAAGGCCUUCGGGUUGUAAAGCACUUUCAGCGGGGAGGCGUUACCCGCAGAAGAAGCACCGGCUAACUACGUGCCAGCAGCCGCGGUAAUUC